CCCUUAGAUGUCCGGGGCUGCACGCGCGCUACACUGACUGGCUCAGCGUGUGCCUACCCUACGCCGGCAGGCGCGGGUAACCCGUUGAACCCCAUUCGUGAUGGGGAUCGGGGAUUGCAAUUAUUCCCCAUGAACGAGGAAUUCCCAGUAAGUGCGGGUCAUAAGCUUGCGUUGAUUAAGUCCCUGCCCUUUGUACACACCGCCCGUCGCUACUACCGAUUGGAUGGUUUAGUGAGGCCCUCGGAUCGGCCCCGCCGGGGUCGGCCCACGGCCCUGGCGGAGCGCUGAGAAGACGGUCGAGCUUGACUAUCUAGAGGAAGUAAAAGUCGUAACA
rnacentral:rRNA from 1 species